rnacentral:rRNA from 1 species
CCUACGGGAGGCAGCAGUGGGGAAUAUUGCACAAUGGGGGAAACCCUGAUGCAGCGACGCCGCGUGAGUGAAGAAGUAUUUCGGUACGUAAAGCUCUAUCAGCAGGGAAGAAAAUUACGGUACCUGACUAAGAAGCCCCGGCUAACUCCGUGCCAGCAGCCGCGGUCAUACGUAGGGGGCACGCGUUAUCCGGAUUUACUGGGUGUAAAGGGAGCGUAGACGGCAGCGCAAGUCUGGAGUGAAAUCCCAUGGCUUAACCAUGGAACUGCUUUGGAAACUGUGCAGCUAGAGUGCAGGAGAGGUAAGCGGAAUUCCUAGUGUAGCGGUGAAAUGCGUAGAUAUUAGGAGGAACACCAGUGGCGAAGGCAGCAUACCGGGGCACAACUGACGCUCAGGCACGAAAGCGUGGGUAUCGAACAGGAUUAGAUACCCGAGUAGUC